rnacentral:rRNA from 1 species
AGCAGCCGCGGUAAUUCCAGCUCCAAUAGCGUAUAUUAAAGUUGUUGCAGUUAAAAAGCUCGUAGUUGAAUUUCGGGAUCGAAUUGUUGGUCGUGCUUCGGUACGCACUGGCAUUAUUGGUUCCUACCUUCUGAAGAACCGCGAUGUCAUUAAUUUGGUGUCGUGGGGAAUCAGGACUGUUACUUUGAAAAAUUAGAGUGUUUAAAGCAGGCGCACGCUUGAAUACAUUAGCAUGGAAUAAUGAAAUAGGACGUUUGAUUCUAUUUUGUUGGUUUCUAGGAUCGACGUAAUGAUUAAUAGGGAUAGUUGGGGGCAUUAGUAUUCAAUUGUCAGAGGUGAAAUUCUUGGAUUUAUUGAAGACUAACUACUGCGAAAGCAUUUGCCAAGGAUGUUUUCAUUAAUCAAGAACGAAAGUUAGGGGAUCGAAGACGAUCAGAUACCGUCGUAGUCUUAACCAUAAACUAUGCCGAUUAGGGAUCGGAUGAUGUUAAUUUUUUAAUAACUCAUUCGGCGCCUUACG